rnacentral:rRNA from 1 species
UACGAAGGGGGCUAGCGUUGUUCGGAAUUACUGGGCGUAAAGGGCUCGUAGGCGGCCAACUAAGUCAGACGUGAAAUCCCUCAGCUUAACUGGGGAACUGCGUCUGAUACUGGAUGGCUUGAGUUCGGGAGAGGGAUGCGGAAUUCCAGGUGUAGCGGUGAAAUGCGUAGAUAUCUGGAGGAACACCGGUGGCGAAGGCGGCAUCCUGGACCGACACUGACGCUGAGGAGCGAAAGCCAGGGGAGCAAACGGG